rnacentral:tRNA from 1 species
GGGGAUAUGGCGAAAUUGGUAGACGCUCGACUUUAGAAAUCGUGAGGGUUCAAGUCCCUCUAUCCCCA